GACAGAGGGUGCAAACGUUGUUCGGAAUUACUGGGCGUAAAGCGCGUGUAGGCGGUCGGGCAAGUCGGAUGUGAAAGCCCCGGGCUCAACCUGGGAAUUGCAUUCGAAACUGCAUGGCUAGGGUGCGGAAGAGGGAAGCGGAAUUUCUGGUGUUGCGGUGAAAUGCGUAGAUAUCAGAAGGAACAUCAGUGGCGAAAGCGGCUUCCUGGUCCAGCACCGACGUUCAGGCACGAAAGCGUGGGGAGCAAACAGG
rnacentral:rRNA from 1 species